AGGGACGACAUCAAAAGUUCAAUGUAGGAUAAAAAACUUAAUUCACGUAGUUUUUUCGCUGACCCCCCUACCCCCCUUCUUAACUUAAUUUGGGAAAAAUUGAUUUACCUAUAUGGAUAUAUGUAAAAUCGAUUUUAUAUGAACAAAACUUUCAACUAUGUUGACCCCCCACCCCCAAACUAUUCGAUUUAAGUUUUUUUUAUCCUACAUCGAUCUUUUGAUGUCGUCCCU
rnacentral:lncRNA from 1 species